rnacentral:rRNA from 1 species
AGGAAAAGAAACUAACAAGGAUUCCCCUAGUAACGGCGAGCGAAGCGGGAAGAGCUCAAAUUUAAAAUCUGGUUUGCUUGCAAAUCCGAGUUGUAGUCUGAAGAAGCGUUUUCCAUGAAAAUCGAGGCACAAGUCCUUUGGAACAGGGCAUCAUAGAGGGUGAGAAUCCCGUCCAUGGUCUCGAAUCUUUCAUUUUGUGAUACGCUUUCUAAGAGUCAGGUUGUUUGGGAAUGCAGCCUAAAAUGGGUGGUAAAUUUCAUCUAAAGCUAAAUAUUGGCGAGAGACCGAUAGCGAACAAGUACCGUGAGGGAAAGAUGAAAAGAACUUUGAAAAGAGAGUUAAAAAGUACGUGAAAUUGUUGAAAGGGAACCGUUUGAAGCCAGUCUUGCUUGUUUGUGAUCAGUUUUGGCUUUGGCCAGAAUGCACUCUCAGACUAUGCAGGUCAACGUCAGUUUGAGGGGCGGGAAAAAAGCUUGAGGAAUGUGGCCUUCGGGUGUUAUGGCCUCUUGCUAAAUACCGUCUCUUGGACUGAGGCUCGCAGCAAAAAUUUGGGCAGGUGUGCUUCUGGAGGAAAUCAUUAUCAAGACAGCUUGCUGACUUGGUUUUGCCUGAAUCCACAGUAUGCUUCGCUUCUAAUUUGCUUAGGUCGUUGACAUAAUGGCUUUAAAUGACCCGUCG